CUUUCUCUUUUCCAUCUGUUUGGUUUCUUCUUUUUCCUUUCUCUUCUCUACUCUCCGACAGAAAGUUUAGACAAGAUUGUAAAUGAUGAAACCCCAAUCUAUUUGCCGAAGAUGAUGAGAAAGUUUUGAGUUCACGGUGGUUCAAAAAAUUGAAGCCCUAAACUCUUUGCAGAAACCAUUUGAAGUUGGUUGAGAUUUUACCUUCUUCUCUGGUCCUCUUCAUUCUGAAAAAGCUGCCUCCCAAAGUGGAAUUACGCAGUACCAUCCUAUCUGCUGAAAGGGUCGAGAAAGAAAAAGAAAGUCUGGUCAAGGUUUCAACUAGUUGCAUACAGAAGGAAGCGAAGAAUUGGGAAUGAAAAGGUGUGUCUAAAGAUGAGGCCAUGAUAGCGGUCCCCAGAUGUUGAAAAUCAUUGCAAAGUAGUGGAGAAUAUUUUAUCUUGUAUCGUUUGAAUAACUUUAUUUUAGGAAA